rnacentral:lncRNA from 1 species
GAUGUGGGAAGCUCCAUCUUAAAAGUACAGGACAUCGUUCUCUGGGAUUCAUGCACAGGCUGAUUGAAAGGUAGAAAGUCAUCUGAGCACCAGAGCUCAUCAUUCUUUGCUUCCAGCUAGCCCCCCCUCUUGCUGCUGGGCCUCCCCUGCCUGUCGCCUUGCCUUCCCUCCAGUCCUUACCUUCCCCCUUGUCCAGUGUUUGCUCACAGACCUGAAGGAACAGAAACCAGGAGACUUUCCUGUAGUUAAUUUCCUGCAACGAGAUUCUUUGUCAUCAGAAAGAGAGGUAGCUUAUGACUAAAUGUGAAGAUGUGGCUUAUCCCUCUCCCUGGACCCAAUCACUUAUUGAAUUAACACCAAGGCUCUCUUUCCAGAUGGGAGGACAAUCCUAGUAACAAAAUAAAAUAUAUCAGUGCCACUCA